rnacentral:rRNA from 1 species
GACGAACGCUGGCGGCGUGCUUAACACAUGCAAGUCGAACGGUGAAAGCGGAGCUUGCUCCGCUGGAUCAGUGGCGAACGGGUGAGUAACACGUGGGCAACCUGCCCCUCACUUCGGGAUAACUCCGGGAAACCGGGGCUAAUACCGGAUAUGACCUCCUUGGGCAUCCUUGGAGGUGGAAAGUUUUUCGGUGAGGGAUGGGCCCGCGGCCUAUCAGCUUGUUGGUGAGGUAGUGGCUCACCAAGGCGACGACGGGUAGCCGGCCUGAGAGGGAGACCGGCCACACUGGGACUGAGACACGGCCCAGACUCCGACGGGAGGCAGCAGUGGGGAAUAUUGCGCAAUGGGCGAAAGCCGGACGCAGCAACGCCGCGUGCGGGAUGACGGCCUUCGGGUUGUAAACCGCUUUCAGCAGGGAAGAAGCCGCAAGGUGACGGUACCUGCAGAAGAAGCACCGGCUAACUACGUGCCAGCAGCCGCCGUAA